rnacentral:rRNA from 1 species
GACCUCGAAUCAGGUAGGAAUACCCGCUGAACUUAAGCAUAUCAAUAAGCGGAGAAA